rnacentral:rRNA from 1 species
GACGAACGCUGGCGGCGUGCUUAACACAUGCAAGUCGAACGGACAGGCCCUGCUUUUGUGGGGUGCUCGAGUGGCGAACGGGUGAGUAACACGUGAGUAACCUGCCCUUGACUUUGGGAUAAAUUCAGGAAACUGGGGCUAUUACCGGAUAGGAGCUCCUGCUGCAUGGUGGGGGUUGGAAAGUUUCGGUGGUUGGGGAUGGAAUCGCGGCUUAUCCGCUUGUUGGUGGAGUUGGGGCUUUCCAAGGCUUUGACGGGUAGCCGGCCUGAGCGGGUGACCGGCCACAUUGGGACUGAGAUACGGCCCAGACGCCUACGGGAGGCAGCAGUGGGAAAUAUUGCACAAUGGGCGGAAGCCUGAUGCAGCAACGCCGCGUGCGGGAUGACGGCCUUCGAGUGAUAAACCGCUUUCGCCUGUGACGAAGCGUGAGUGACGGUAAUUAGUAAAGAAGCACCGGCUAACUACGUG